ensembl:lncRNA
GGCACGCCAAAUUGCCUAGAUCUGACAAAAGUUUACUUAAGUAAGGACACCAUUUACGAAUAGUUUUCAUGAUAUUUUUGCUAGACAUGCAAAAACUAAAGCCUCAUCUUCUGUUUUAUUUAAAGUUGUAUCCAUGAGCGACCUCUCAUUCUGGAAAAAGUGAGUCAGAAAUAUUGACUUGCUGUAGUUGCUUGCAACUACACUUACACUCUUCAGUUGCUUGCUAGCCAGGCAUUUGUUUUCCAUACUGGUUUGCUGAAAGUCUACAUUACAGAAAGCUGAAGUCUACAUCAAGAUUCCCAACCUCUAGUAUGGUUCAUGUUCACAAUUAACAGAAGUACGUUAUUUCUUUCUAUAGCAGUAGUGUCUUAGAAAUUGAUAUGCACCAAAACACCACACUAAAAGAACAGUAUUAAUGUUGCAAGUCAAAUUCUUAUAAAUUAUGAAGUUCAAGUGUUUCAAGUUUCUUUUGCCUCCUUAUUUCAGUCUCUUUAUGAGUGAGUUUGCAUUAUGAUAAAUUAUGUUAUUGCUUACUAUUCUUUGCACAGGACCUGUGCCCUAUGGGUUCUUGCCCAGUCAGCCCCACUAUCACACUCCUCACCUCUGAGCUUUUUAAUCAAAAUUCUUAGAAAUCUUGUUCUUGGAAGUGACUGAAGUGCUUUAGCUGACGCUUUCCCGAGCAAGUCUCUGAGGUAUACGUACAGCAGGGAAUGGUUCCAGAAUGCAAACAAUAAAAACUUAGCAAGGCUAUAAGCAGUUGGGAAUACGCUCUUCUGUUAAACUAUAGAGAAGACAAACAAGUUUUACUUUUCCUAAGUGAUAUGAGAGCUGUGUUGAACAUAACCUAUCUUGUGCCCAACAAAAGAUAAGAUGUCAGUAUAACUUGCUCACAGUUACAACAUAAACAGUGAAGCAUUAUCUGGGUUUCAAGUUAUUGCUGGCAAACUCCCAUUGUAAUAACCAGCAUUCCAAAUCUAUCCUUUGAUUACAGACCCUGAAAAAGGAAAAACUGCUAAGUCACUUGAAAUGUAGAGUGAAUAUAGAGUAAAAGAUUUAGAGUUAAAUAUUAUCUCUUUCCCCCUUAGCAGCAAGGAGUUCUUAUAGGGAAACUCCCUUCUUUGACUGUCUUUUAGUAACAGUAAUAACAGUUCUUCUGGAAUAAAAAGAGAAGACAAUUGAGCUUUUUUGGAGUUCUAGCUUUUCUGUUGCUACUCAACCUGAUCCUCUUUCCAGAAGGAAUAAAAGAACGUUCAAAGAAGGGGUCAGAAAAGAGAAACAAGACAGAAAAUGCAGUUUCUGCCUAAGGUAUGACUAAGAUAAUCACAACUGGAGAGCCUCAGGCACAGCGUACAUUCUGAUCAGAUGUGCAGGGCUGAGACAGGGUUAUAUCAGCACUGAUCACAGCACCUGCUGUCAGCUUCAUUUCGCUUGUUUUACAGUUGCAUUAAAAAAGAUAGAGUUCCAGACUAUGAGAAAAAAGAGGGGAAAAAGUAGAGUGGGAAAGCUCCCCCCCCACUCUUCCCUUUUGCCACCCCAAAUCUCAGGCACAUAAGAGCAGGACCCUAGGUUUUUAGGUGGUGGGGGAGUUCACAUGGUCAAACUGACUUGUUCAGCAUAGCUUGAGCUGGGCAUUUCACAAAAAUGCCCUUCACCCCACAUGGUGGGAGAGCACAUUGUAUUCUUUUCCAACGUAAACAUUUCCUCCAUCUCAAUUCUUUCAGCUCGUGGUAACCUAUGGCUUCACUACAAAUCUUGAAAUUUCAUUAUUGGAACUAAGCAUCAAUUCAGGUCUAUUUUUUAUUGUCCUUUAAUAAUCUUUUUUUGAAUGUAUUGCUUUGUAGGGCAAAAAGUAUACAGGCACCAUAAGGGGCAGGCAUACAAAAGUGAAAAGAGGAGUAAGACAAAAUGAUUGGUUCAUUGUUUAUCUUAGUGUUACUCAACAGUCAACUGAUCAAAUAAAACCAUUCUUCACUGAAGUCUCAGGUUUGUUCAUGGAAUCCUGAUUAUAAAAUGCAAACCUGGCUUUGUAAAAAGACAGAAAAUGUUAAUGACAAGUUCCACUCUGUGUACUUGAGAAUACACUGUUUUUCUUCUCACUGUUAUUCCAUCAGUUAUGUUACAAGUCUUAUUCCCCAGGGAUUUAUACUUAAGAGAUGUGCAGCUUAGAGAAAACUCUGGAUGAGAACAUACUCAAAUUUCCUGACACUAAUUAGAGAUGUCUCUAGAUACAUGUCAGCAUUUGCCGUUGUAAUCCAUCACUAUAUUUUUCUGUUCAAUCUUGCUUUUGCAACUGUCUUUCCUUAAUUUCUUUAUUUGAUGAAAUGAGAGGUUUGUCAGAAAAUUCUUCUUCCAGAGGUUUAUGUGAUUAUAUAUUGUUCUGGUUCUAAAUUAUAGCUCAUAUAAUUAUAGCAGCAUUUUCUGCAUUACAAAUUUUUACUAUUUCUCAUUCAAUGAUAAGAUCGAGAAAAUUUUCACUUGGAACCACAAAAUAACUGCUGUGUCCUUUUCAAAGUCAAAGAUUCAUCCAAACACAACUGUGACUCCUUCAGGAUAAGAAUGCUGUAUAGCUUCUAAUAAGAUGGAGUUCUGAUUCUAUUUUAUAACUUAAUUUCACAGUCAAAAAUAGCAUAAAAAGAGGCCUCCUGUAAAAAUGAAUCCUUAUCUGAUCGUACAAAGUUGUAAAUUUUACGCCCAAGUGACACUGAACUGCAUCCAUUACAUGAUAUUGUAACUCCAGUAGAUGUCCGUGUACUCAAACUCCGUUCACUGAAAAACUAGACUUCCUAAAGAACUGCACUGGGAAGGAAAUUCCCAGUAGGGGUUCCUUUGUGAGAUGAACUUUUUUGCAAAGACUUAUUUCAUCAUGGUAGCCAAAACCCAGGAAGAUAAUGUAGAGAAACACAGUGGAGUACAAAUCUAACUCAAGUAAUCAAGAUAGACAUCUGUGUGCAGCUAUAAAUGCAACAUGGCUUAAGGGACCAGUGGUAGGAACCUGUGCCUAAAAGCAGCUCCCAGACCCUAGAUGACUAUGAUGAUGCCUAUGAUUUUAUGAUUCUAUGACUGCUCAUAAUUCUUUCUCAUAUAAGUUUGUUCACUGUUUCACUGUAUCAGAGCUGGCCUUGAACACACAUGAACAGACUCCUGGCUGGGAGAAAGAAGCUGCACUCGGCUGAUGCCUGCGAUUCCAGGUAAGAAAAUAAAAAGGAACAGGAAAAAAAAAAGAGAGAAAGGAGGGAAGAAAAGGGGAAGGAAGAGAACAUCUGUGGAAAAAGAGAGGAAAAGGGCCUCAGAUUCUGGAUUCCAAAAAACUGCACUGGAGAAGCUUGUUUUGGAAAGCUGAAAAUAUUAUUGUACACACUGCUUCGGAGGCCCACGGUGUACCAUAUAUACAAGAGAAGGUGCUACAGGGUUAUUGCAAAGGAAAGAGACAUGAUGUAAGUGACCACUGGAGAUGGCUGGAGAGAGUUAAUGAAUGUUCUGAAGUGGAGGAUCAAGAUUAAGACAUUUUGGGAGACAUUGUCCUGCUUGGUCACUAAGAACAUAAGGCUGCACUCCAAAGACAGGCCUCCUCCUUUGCUAAAAGCUCUCUUUGUGUGCUCAAAUUGAAGAAUGAGAAUGUACAAGAUGGAAGAUCAGCAUGGAGGACAUCUUUUGCAGCGCUGAAUCAGAGGUGGGAGAUGUACUCUACCCGAGAAAAGUUUCUCUCAUGGAGGACAGAAGUGUUGGUGAAUGUAGGGUGUGUUUGAGAUUUUAAAGGGGAGAUGGGCUAUCUGUUGCUGUGUGUAAAACUGGAGGAAGAAAAUAUGUCCCAGCUCAGACUAUGCUCAAUAGAGGGAGAGACCAGUUCCCAGUUCCCAGCUAGGUCCAGCCUAUUAUUUCCAUUUAUUAAUUAGGUGAAUAAUAUCCUAUUAUUAGGUCCAGCAGAAUUAUUUAGGCUGGCACCCAGUGCAGGAUAUUAGAGAGCAGUUAAAUCCUCUCAGAGAGCUUCGGUAAAAGGCAAUCUAUAAAAACAAAUCUUACAUUUGGUCAUCAUUAAUACGCUGGAAAAUAAAUGAAGGUAUAACUAUGCUCUGCAAUUUUUAUUUCAUUUAUGAAGACUGUGCCACAUGGCAUACAUGCUCUGUCUGUGCUGUUAAGCACAUGAUGUGAGAAAUGGUGGUGUGAGGACUUAGAAUGGAAGAAGAAAGACAUAGUCCAUGCUGAAGCAAAGCAGAAAAUAUUUUAGCUUUAUUUUAUGAAUUCAUAGAUUUCUUAGAGGUCUGCAUGGAGCUUUCAUAGAGGUUGAUUUAGAGAUCAGGCCUAGUGACAAGUCCCAGGUUAAUUCUGUAGCAGCUGCCAAAUCCCUCAGUAAGGCACACUGUACAACAAUGGCUACUCUAGUCUCUAAAGAAAUAUUUUAGUAAUGUUUCUGGAGUGGCUAGUGUAGUGUACAGUGAAAAUGCCUGUGCCCCUGCCAGUAUGGAGCCAAACAAGACUUACCUAAGCCUGGGUUACCCUAGAACUGAUCUUCUUACCAAACUCCCAAAUAAAAUGCAAAAUAUUACAAAUUCCUCUUUCCUUACUUUUUAAAAAUUCAAUGAAAUUUUUAGAAGAGAGGGGAAAAUUAUAAGUGAAGGGAAAAUGUUGCAUGAUUCCUUAGCUAGACACCUGGAAAUCAGUCAGCCCUUGAGACAAUCUUGGAAUAGAUAUGUGAUUCCUUGAUCUUCUUUAUCAACAAG